rnacentral:rRNA from 1 species
GUGGGUGAUCUGCCCUGCACUUCGGGAUAAGCUUGGGAAACUGGGUCUAAUACCGGAUAGGAGCCAUCUUUAGUGUGGUGGUUGGAAAGUUUUUCGGUGUAGGAUGAGCUCGCGGCCUAUCAGCUUGUUGGUGGGGUAAUGGCCUACCAAGGCGGCGACGGGUAGCCGGCCUGAGAGGGUGACCGGCCACAUUGGGACUGAGAUACGGCCCAG